GUACGGGAGGCAGCAGCGAAGAAUCUUCCGCAAUGGGGGAAACCCUGACGGAGCGACGCCGCGUGGGCGAUGAAGGUCGUAAGAUUGUAAAGCCCUUUUGUCGGUGAAGAAUAAUGGGGGGAGUGGAACGCCCCUCAGAUGACGUUAGCCGAUGAAUAAGCCCCGGCUAAUUACGUGCCAGCAGCCGCGGUAAUACGUAUGGGGCAAGCGUUGUUCGGAGUUAUUGGGCGUAAAGGGCGUGUAGGCGGUUCAUUAAGUCUGGUGUGAAAUCGCAGGGCCUAACCUUGCGUGUGCGCUGGAAACUAGUGGACUUGAGUUCCUGAGGGGAAGCUGGAAUUCCAGGUGUAGGGGUGAAAUCUGUAGAUAUCUGGAAGAACACCGGUGGCGAAGGCGAGCUUCUAUCAGAGGACUGACGCUGAGGCGCGAAAGCGUGGGGAGCAAACAGGAUUAGAUACCCUGGUAGC
rnacentral:rRNA from 1 species